rnacentral:lncRNA from 1 species
GGAGAGUUUAGUCAAUAUUUGCUGAAUGAGUGCAUGUACCGUGAACAAUUGCAGCCAGGCUGGUUCUGCCUCACCCAGAAUACAUCACUUCCCUAACCUCAGAUGGCCUUUUGAAGAUCCUCCUCGGAGACACGCACUUGUGACUCCCACUUGUCAAGUGGCACUUGAUGGGAAGGCUUCCACAGUAAGAGGAUGGCAAAACAGACAAGAGCAGCAAACUAUGAAGGCUGAAGUUGGGGGGCGGAAUUCAGUGUCAACGUCAAAUAAAAAUGACACCGGAAUGCAGGAGACACACGUAGGGCCACGUCAUGGAUACGGGCGGACAGUAACCAGAGGUGAGGGCAUGCAAACCACUACAGGUCCCCCACUCCCGCCCUGCUCUCAGGCUGUGCACCCUUCUCUCUGCUCACCGCCUCCUACCUGUCCUCCCAAGUCCCUUCCUGCCUGUCUGGACUUCGUUACUCUCCAUCUCCUCUGUCCCCCAGCACCCAGCGUACGGUUUUGUGCCUGUCAUGGAGCCUCCCGGGAGAUCACGUCCAGUGCUGGUUCCCUCAGCCAUCAUCACAACACAGCGCUGUCACGGCCAGAAUGUCAGACGGCUGCGGUUGAACCCCUGGACAGAUCUUCACGGUUCCCCAAGGCCUGCCCUCCUACAAACCUGUCAAGUGGGAGUGAAUGGAGUGCCCAGCCACAGGAGUAACCCAGCACAUCUAUCCAGACCAUCUGUUCUCUGAAAACC